rnacentral:rRNA from 1 species
GUCGACGGGCCUUUAGGGGCAAGUGGCGGACGGGUGAGUAACGCGUGAGAAUGUGCCUUGAGGAUGGGGAUAACAAUAGGAAACUAAUGCUAAGACCCAAUAUGCCCUACGGGGUGAAAAAUGAAAAUUGCCUGAAGAGGAGCUCGCGUCUGAUUAGCUAGUUGGGGUGGUAAAAGCGCACCAAGGCGACGAUCAGUAGCUGGUCUGAGAGGAUGAGCAGCCACACUGGGACUGAGACACGGCCCAGACUCCUACGGGAGGCAGCAGUGGGGAAUAUUGGACAAUGGGCGAAAGCCUGAUCCAGCAAUGCCGCGUGUGUGAAGAAGGCCUGCGGGUUGUAAAGCACUUUCAGUUGGGAAGAUUAUGACGUUACCAACAGAAGAAGCACCGGCUAACUCCGUG